UACUUGGGUAGGGGAGCGUUGAAUACGGGUUGAAGUUGGACCGUGAGGACUGGUGGACUGUAUUCAAGUGAGAAUGCCGGUAUGAGUAACGAAAAGACAAGUGAGAAUCUUGUCCGCCGAAAGCCUAAGGGUUCCUGAGGAAGGCUCGUCCGCUCAGGGUAAGUCGGGACCUAACGCGAGGCCGAAAGGCGUAGUGGAAGGACAACAGGUUGAAAUUCCUGUACCACCGUAAGCCGUUAUGAGCAAUGGGGUGACACAGAAGGGCAGUGACGCGGGCUGAUGGAAUAGCCCGUCCAAGCAGUGAGGCUAGUGUGUAGGCAAAUCCGCACACUGUUAGGCUGGGCUGUGAUGGGGAGCGAAAAUUACAGUAGCGAAGGUCAUGUACUCCGGCUGUCAAGAAAAGCCUCUAGCCAGGUGAAGGUGCCCGUACCGCAAACCGACACAGGUAGGCGAGCAGAGCAUGCUAAGGCGCGCGGAAGAACUCUCGUUAAGGAACUCGGCAAAAUGACCCCGUAACUUCGGGAGAAGGGGUGCCUCGGUAGGGUGAAUAGCCCGAGGGGGCCGCAGUGAAAAGGCCCAAGCGACUGUUUAGCAAAAACACAGGUCUGUGCGAAGCCGUAAGGCGAAGUAUACGGGCUGACGCCUGCCCGGUGCUGGAAGGUUAAGGGGAGCGGUUAGGAGCAAUCCGAAGCUGUGAACCGAAGCCCCAGUAAACGGCGGCCGUAACUAUAACGGUCCUAAGGUAGCGAAAUUCCUUGUCAGGUAAAUUCUGACCCGCACGAAUGGCGUAACGACUUGGGCGCUGUCUCAACGAGAGAUCCGGUGAAAUUUUAAUACCUGUGAAGAUGCAGGUUACCCGCGACAAGACGGAAAGACCCCAUGGAGCUUUACUGCAGCUUGAUAUUGGACUUUGGUACGAUCUGUACAGGAUAGGUGGGAGCCAUUGAAGCAUGAGCGCCAGCUUGUGUGGAGGCGACGUUGGGAUACCACCCUGAUCGUAUCGGAGUUCUAACCUGCUACCGUGAAACCGGUAGAGGGACCGUGUCAGGCGGGCAGUUUGACUGGGGCGGUCGCCUCCUAAAAUGUAACGGAGGCGCCCAAAGGUUCCCUCAGAAUGGUUGGAAAUCAUUCGAAGAGUGCAAAGGCAUAAGGGAGCUUGACUGCGAGACCUACAAGUCGAGCAGGGACGAAAGUCGGGCUUAGUGAUCCGGUGGUACCGCAUGGAAGGGCCAUCGCUCAACGGAUAAAAGCUACCCUGGGGAUAACAGGCUUAUCUCCCCCAAGAGUCCACAUCGACGGGGAGGUUUGGCACCUCGAUGUCGGCUCAUCGCAUCCUGGGGCUGAAGUAGGUCCCAAGGGUUGGGCUGUUCGCCCAUUAAAGCGGUACGCGAGCUGGGUUCAGAACGUCGUGAGACAGUUCGGUCCCUAUCUGUCGCGGGCGCAGGAAAUUUGAGAGGAGCUGUCCUUAGUACGAGAGGACCGGGAUGGACGUACCGCUGGUGUACCAGUUGUUCCGCCAGGAGCACCGCUGGGUAGCCAAGUACGGACGGGAUAAGCGCUGAAAGCAUCUAAGCGUGAAGCCCCCCUCAAGAUGAGAUUUCCCAGUAUGUAAGACCCCUUGAAGACGACGAGGUUGAUAGGUUCGGGGUGGAAGCACAGCAAUGUGUGCAGCUGACGAAUACUAAUCGGUCGAGGGCUUAUCCUAAAACCGUUUGCCUGGACCCAUACAUCCGGCAGACAAACAGCUAAAGUUCAGCAGCAA
rnacentral:rRNA from 1 species